rnacentral:rRNA from 1 species
AUUGAACGCUGGCGGAAUGCUUUACACAUGCAAGUCGAACGGCAGCACGGGGGCAACCCUGGUGGCGAGUGGCGCACGGGUGAGUAAUACAUCGGAACGUAUCCUAGAGUGGGGGAUAGCCCGGCGAAAGCCGGAUUAAUACCGCAUACGCUCGAAAGAGGAAAGUGGGGGAUCGUAAGACCUCACGCCCAAGGAGCGGCCGAUGCCGGAUUAGCUUGUUGGUGAGGUAAAAGCUCACCAAGGCGACGAUCCGUAGCUGGUCUGAGAGGACGACCAGCCACACUGGGACUGAGACACGGCCCAGACUCCUACGGGAGGCAGCAGUGGGGAAUUUUGGACAAUGGGGGAAACCCUGAUCCAGCCAUUCCGCGUGAGUGAAGAAGGCC